rnacentral:rRNA from 1 species
GGACGAACGCUGGCGGCGUGCUUAACACAUGCAAGUCGAACGGAAAGGCCUUUUCGGAGGUACUCGAGUGGCGAACGGGUGAGUAACACGUGGGUGAUCUGCCCUGCACUCUGGGAUAAGCCUGGGAAACUGGGUCUAAUACCGGAUAGGACCGCACUUUAGUGUGUGUGGUGGAAAGUUUUUUCGGUGUAGGAUGAGCCCGCGGCCUAUCAGCUUGUUGGUGGGGUAAUGGCCUACCAAGGCGGCGACGGGUAGCCGGACUGAGAGGUUGGUCGGCCACAUUGGGACUGAGAUACGGCCCAGACUCCUACGGGAGGCAGCAGUGGGGAAUAUUGCACAAUGGGCGCAAGCCUGAUGCAGCGACGCCGCGUGGGGGAGGACGGCCUUCGGGUUGUAAACGCCUUUCGCCAGGGACGAAGCGUUUUGUGACGGUACCUGGAGAAGAAGCACCGGCUAACUACGUG